AUGAAGGAUCCCAGUGACCCGAGACCCUCUUCCGGAGCCGCCAAGACCCGAGCGCCUUCGUUCAGCGGUCGGCGAUCGUUUGGAAGGACAGUCCUUUGGAAGAACUUAGGUCAUACAUACCCAUCCCUCACCGCCCCCCUCCCCCGACGCCCAGGCCGUCCUCAGCCUCUCCAUUACUCGCUUUGCUUUCCCCGUUUUCCACUCCGGAGCGCAGCUCGGCACGUGCACGCGGGUGUGAGCGCGCCCAGAGGCUGCAGAGACCCGGAGCGUCGCUCGGAUCCGGCCAGAGCGGGUAGGAUCCUCGCUGGCAAGAAAACCAGCGGAGGAGAAGGAACUGUGUUUCGCCCAUUACUUUUAUUAGACGAGAGAGGCUAUAGAGGGCGUUUGUCCCGGGUCCCGUUUCAUAGCCGCCUGCUGACUUCAUCAAAAGGGCUCGUCCAGACCGCGAUUCCGCCGCGCGUGGUCAGGCGCACACUGACGCAGCUGGGUGGGAGAGCCGCGGGUACCCAGGAUACUGAGGGACAGAAACAGAAAAACCACGGUUGCGUACGUUUCCUGCCGGCUUCCCUGCUAAGCAUCUUCUGUGCACCUGAGUGUCUUGAUCUCGAGUGAUCCAGGCAAACCUGAUCACACCUCGGGAGCCCUGGCUCUCCUGUAUGAAGCGCGGUGCAUUGCCACGUUGAAUUUUAAGCCCCUAUAGCUAUGCACACUGAAAAUAGCAUUUCAUUUUAAAAUAAAUUCCUGAGUUAGCAGUCAGUCCCAAACCUUCCAUUCCUUGAGAACAGCGUGCAUUUUGUUGUUGUUUUUGCAUCCGCAUGACGUGUGCCAUUCCCAGCACAGAGAUGUUCAUGAAAAAGAAAGUGAACAAAAGCAAACCAUACUGAUGAUACUGUUAAUGAAAAAUUCAGAGUGGGACCGACCGUUUAAAGCUGAUUAGAUCCUAGCAAGGGUUUUUUUAGAAACAGACAAGUUUCUUCUGAAAUUUAUUUUUAGUGGCAGGAAUCUUAGGAUGGCUAAAACAAUUCUGACAAAGAAGAAUUAAGUGGGAAGAAUCAGUCUACCCAAUUCCAAGACAUUACAUCAUUGGAACAAAAGAGAAAAUCCCAGAAACAAACAUGUAUAAAUAUUCCUGACUUAUUUUGACAGGAUGCAAAGCAAUUCAAUGGAGGAAAGCUAGUCUUUUCAACAAGCGGUGCUGGAUCAAUCGAACGUCUCUAAGCCUGUGGGACUUCUCAGGUAUCUCAGUGGUAAGGAACCUACCUGUCAAUGAAGGAAAUGCAAGAGCUGGGGGUUCGAUCCCUGGGUCAGGAAGAUCCCCUGGAGUAGGAAUCGGUGAUCCACUCCAGUACUCUCGCCUGGGAAAUCCCAGGGACAGAGGAGCCUGGUGGGCUACAGUCCGUGGGGCCACAAAGAUUCGGACACAACUGAGCACAAAGCAAGUAUGCGCAUACAAACACACACAAACUCCAACCCAACUCCCGUACCUUACGCAGAAAUUAACUAGACGUGACCACAGACUUACACGUCAAAUUAUGAAACUUUUAGAACAGAGGAUAAAAAUCUCAAGAUCUAUGACGAGGCAAAGAAUCUGUAGACUAGACACCAAAAGCAGAAUCCAUGAAUUAAUAUUUUCUUCUCAAAGGUACCCAGGAUACUGAGGACAGAAACAGAAAAACCACGGUUGCGUCGUUUCCUGCCGGCUUCCCUGCUAAGCAUCUUCUGUGCACCUGAGUGUCUUGAUCUCGAGUGAUCCAGGCAAACCUGAUCACACCUCGGGAGCCCUGGCUCUCCUGUAUGAAGCGGUGCAUUGCCACGUUGAAUUUUAAGCCCCUAUAGCUAUGCACACUGAAAAUAGCAUUUCAUUUUUAAAAUAAAUUCCUGAGUUAGCAGUCAGUCCCAAACCUUCCAUUCCUUGAGAACAGCGAGCGUGCAUUUUGUUGUUGUUUUUUGCAUCCCGCAUGACGUGUGCCAUUCCCAGCACAGAGAUGUUCAUGAAAAAGAAAGUGAACAAAAGCAAACCAUACUGAUGAUACUGUUAAUGAAAAAUUCAGAGUGGGACCGACCGUUUAAAGCUGAUUAGAUCCUAGCAAGGGUUUUUUUAGAAACAGACAAGUUUCUUCUGAAAUUUAUUUUUAGUGGCAGGAAUCUUAGGAUGGCUAAAACAAUUCUGACAAAGAAGAAUUAAGUGGGAAGAAUCAGUCUACCCAAUUCCAAGACAUUACAUCAUUGGAACAAAAGAGAAAAUCCCAGAAACAAACAUGUAUAAAUAUUCCUGACUUAUUUUGACAGGAUGCAAAGCAAUUCAAUGGAGGAAAGCUAGUCUUUUCAACAAACGGUGCUGGAUCAAUCGAACGUCUCUAAGCCUGUGGGACUUCUCAGGUAUCUCAGUGGUAAGGAACCUACCUGUCAAUGAAGGAAAUGCAAGAGCUGGGGGUUCGAUCCCUGGGUCAGGAAGAUCCCUGGAGUAGGAAUCGGUGAUCCACUCCAGUACUCUCGCCUGGAAAUCCCAGGGACAGAGGAGCCUGGUGGGCUACAGUCCGUGGGGC
rnacentral:lncRNA from 1 species